AGGUAGUAUGAAGAGCAUAGCAAUCCCUGUAGCAAUCACUACAGGGAUUGCUAUGCUCUUCAUACUCCCUUAGCUACUGAG